GGGAUGUGUUCACUUUGGAAGGGAAAGGGGUGUGAGUGGAGAGUCGAGAGUAAAAGAAUUGGUGCAUUAAUAUAUAUGUAUAUAUAUAUAUAUAUAUAUAUAUAUAUAUAUAUAUAUAUUAAUGCACCAAUUCUUUUACUCUCGACUAUCCACUCACACCCCUUUCCCUUCCAAAGUGAACACAUCCCC